GCUUACGGCCACACCGGCCUGAGUAUGCCUGAUCUCGUCCGAUCUCGGAAGCUAAGCAGGGUCGGGCCUGGUUAGUACUUGGAUGGGAGACCGCCUGGGAAUACCAGGUGCUGUAAGCU
ensembl:rRNA 5S_rRNA 5S ribosomal RNA